GCUAGUUUGACAGAGUUUAUGUAUUAAUUUUAGAAUUUAAUUAAGUAAUUUAUAUUACAUCUAGUA
rnacentral:tRNA from 1 species